GGUAUGAAUUUCAUAGACCAUACACUUAGAUUACUUAGAUGUUUAUGAAAUGAAAGUGUAUGUGUGUAUGUGUGUGUGUGUGUGUGUGUUUGUAUACACUGAAUUUAAUUUAUAAUUGUACCUCAUAGCAGAAAACUGAACCUUAGCAGAUAGGGUCCCUUCAAAUUUUUCCUAUUUUAGUAAGCUUAGGGCUCCUUCCUAUUCCUAUCCCCACUGCCCCACUGUGGCAUAGAUUCUAAAUGUAAGGGAAUAAAAGCAGUCUAAUGGAACGUGGUAAAAGCAAGCUGCAAGAAUCUAGUCCUUGCAUUACAUCUAUCCAUAGCUAGCAUCUGCUGAGAUGACCAUUAAGAAUAAAAAUAGCUAACAUAUAUGAAACACUCAUAUAACCCUAUGCUAGGUCCUUUACAUAUCUGAAUUCACCCAGCCUUCAUAACAGCCCGUGAAGUAAGUACUAUUAUUACAAUGUGCAUUUUAUAGAUAGGAAAACUGAUGCACAGAGUUUAAAAACUGGGCCAGGUUUAUGCAGCACUUAAGAAACAGAGCUGGAGUUUGAACGCAAUACUGGAACUCUGGAACUUCAGCUUGGAAUCUCUGUGCUCGGCAGGCUCUCCUGCUGUCUACUCCUUCCAUAUAAGCCUCCACAUCAGCACAAGCUGAAGCUAUUGUAUUAUAUUUGGAAGGUAAUGUGACGCAUUCCACAGCGGCUUCCUCAUCCCUCCCUCUGCAGACUGCUGGUUCUCUAAGUCCCGACUGUGCCACUCAUGUGCAAUACAUGUGGUAUAAAAUGACUUGUCUGCUCACUCCUAGAACCUAUUGAGGUUUACAGGGCCUCUGGGCCUCGUGUCCAUCAGCCAAAUAACUCACGUAAACAUCACUAUGUAUUCACAGGGUCAUGGUUUUGGGAGUGUUCUAAAUGUUUAAAGUAUUCCAAUCAGAAAGCUGGAUGCUCUGUCACUCUACCCAGGAGUGCAGUCAGAAUAAUCUCUAAUUCAAGAGGACACUGGUCCAUGGCUAUCUUUCUUUUCUUACUGUAUCUUGUAACUUCUGUGGUGCUUUAUCGAGAUUUACCAGUGUAAUACAUCUGGGAGUCUCAGGAAAUGUGAUGUUGAAGCAUAUUAACAAUUGUCACCACCCUACUUACCAAGUAUGUUUUCCUUAUUGAAAUCUGACUCGGCAGUGACCCAAUUCCAGAAUCCCAACAUGAAGGGCUGCUUUCCAGACUCUGUGUAACAAGCUGUCCUGGUUUGGCUUCACUGUGAAAGCCAAACCAGAGAUGGCCCUGGAUUGAUUUGCCAAAGAUCCACCCAGGAAUCCUGACUCAUUAAAGAAGGGUGGAGAUUUUCUGAGCUAAGCGAGAGACCUUUCCUCAGAGGUCAUUUUCUCUUCGACUUCUUCUGAGGCAACUCCUGCAGCCAGCCCCCAAAGACAGAAUCAGAUAAUAGGAAUUCAAAAACCUAACUUAACUGUGAGCCAUGUUACAAGGUUCAAGACCUUCAGCAACAGCCAGUUUUACUAAGUUACUAAUAGUCAAGGAGACACAGGAAGAAGAUGGCCAUCUAAAAGUCAAAAGAAGAAGCCUGGAACAGAUUUUUCCCUCACAGUUCUCAGAAGGAGCCAGUGGUGCCGACAACUUGAUCUAGUCUCCAGAGCUAUACCACAACCAAUUCCACUUAUUUAAGCCACCUAGGUUGUGGUACCUCGCUACAGCAUCACCUAGAAAAUUAAUGCACCUUCAUUACCCAGAGAUAACCUCAGUAAACACUUACUAUACAUUUAAAAAUCUGUGGCCUAUUUCUGUUUACUUAUUCAAAUAUUUUUUUUUCACAUAACACUAAAUUUUGAACAAAUUUUUCAGUCUAUGGCGGUGACGUCUUGUGCCCUACCCUGAAGUCCAUUUUUCCUUCCUCCCAGUAACAAUGCUCUAAUUUUAGUGCUCAAUCAAAAGAUAACAUUUGCAGCCUCCCUUGGGCCAUGUGCUUAUUUAUCUAAAUUCUGGACAAAAUGAUGUUAGCAGAAAUGUUGUAUUGGACUGUAAAGAACUGCAAAGUUUCUAAAAUUUUGCACUACUUGAAAGCAAAAAAGAAACCCUUCCACAGAAAGGUGGUUUUCUUGUCCCAGUUUUCUGAGUGCCAAUUCCCACAGGGCCAGAAGAGGAUGAGACACUUACAGAGCCUAAAACUUUUAUAAUGGUCAGUGAACCUGCACACCCUUUGUGUAGGACAGAAAUGCUGUUUCUACCUUGCAAGGCUGCUUCCUAUAAAAAAUUCUUAAAACGAUAGACCACCAGCCAACGUUUUGAGGAUGCAUUCAUAUUUUCAGAAUGACAGUAGGAAGAGAGGAAACUGAGCUCCAUACUAGUCCUGGCCUAUGCACCCCCCCAGACUUCUUUUAUGGCUGAGGAAAUUAAACUUCUUUAGUUAAAUCACUUAUUUUGGGAAUUUUCUGUGGUGCUGUCCAAUCCUAGGUCUAACUGGCAUGCAGUCAAUAAAACUUACAUUUAAAACUUCAUUUUUCAGCCGGGCACAGUGGCUCACAUGUGUAAUCCCAGCACCAAGUCAGGUGCAUCACCUGAGGUCAGGAAUUUGAGACCAGACUGGCCAACAUCGUGAAACCCUGUCUCUAUUAAAAUACAAAAUUAUUUUACUCUAUUAAAAAUACAAAAUUUAGCCGGGCGCGGUGGCGGGCACCUGUAAUCCCAGCUACUCGUAAGGCUGAGGCCGGAGAAUCAUUUGAACUCAGGAGGCAGAGGUUGCAGUGAGCCGAGGUGGCGCCAUUGCACUCCAGCCUGGGCAACAAGAGUGAAACUCCAUCUCAAAAAUAAAUAAAUAAAUAAAUAAAUAAAUAAAUAAAUAAAUAAAUAAAUAAAAUAAAAUAAAAUACUUCAUUUUUCAUAAUGACAAAGAAGUAAAUCAUAUAAUCAUACCAUCAUUUCCUUAGUUAAACCCAUUAUUGUACUCCCC
rnacentral:lncRNA from 10 species